UACGAGGGGUGCAAGCGUUGCUCGGAAUUAUUGGGCGUAAAGGGUAGGUAGGUGGUCUCAUUUGUCCGGGGUGAAAGCCUUGAGCUUAACUCAAGAAGUGCCUCGGAAACGGUGAGACUGGAGUCCUGGAGAGGGUCGUGGAAUUCCCGGUGUAGUGGUGAAAUGCGUAGAGAUCGGGAGGAACACCAGAGGCGAAGGCGGCGACCUGGACAGGCACUGACACUCAACUACGAAAGCGUGGGGAGCAAACAGG
rnacentral:rRNA from 1 species